rnacentral:rRNA from 1 species
AUUGAACGCUGGCGGCAUGCCUUACACAUGCAAGUCGAACGGUAACAGGCCGCAAGGUGCUGACGAGUGGCGAACGGGUGAGUAAUGCAUCGGAACGUGCCCAGUAGUGGGGGAUAGCCCGGCGAAAGCCGGAUUAAUACCGCAUACGACCUGAGGGGGAAAGGGGGGGAUCGCAAGACCUCUCGCUAUUGGAGCGGCCGAUGUCCGAUUAGCUAGUUGGGGGGGUAAAGGCCUACCAAGGCAACGAUCUGUAGUUGGUCUGAGAGGACGACCAGCCACACUGGGACUGAGACACGGCCCAGACUCCUACGGGAGGCAGCAGUGGGGAAUUUUGGACAAUGGGCGCAAGCCUGAUCCAGCAAUGCCGCGUGCAGGAAGAAGGCCUUCGGGUUGUAAACUGCUUUUGUCAGGGAAGAAAUCUUCUGGGUUAAUACCUCGGGAGGAUGACGGUACCUGAAGAAUAAGCACCGGCUAACUACGUGCCAGCAGCCGCAGUAAAAC